AGUGAACGCUGGCGGUAGGCCUAACACAUGCAAGUCGAACGGCAGCACAGUAAGAGCUUGCUCUUACGGGUGGCGAGUGGCGGACGGGUGCUGAAUACAUCGGAAUCUACUUUUUCGUGGGGGAGAACGUAGGGAAACUUACGCUAAUACCGCAUACGACCUACGUGUGAAAUCAGCGGAUCUUCGGACCUUGCGCGAUUGAAUGAGCCGAUGUCGGAUUAGCGAGUUGGCGGGGUAAAGGCCCACCAAGGCGACGAUCCGUAGCUGGUCUGAGAGGAUGAUCAGCCACACUGGAACUGAGACACGGUCCAGACUCCUACGGGAGGCAGCAGUGGGGAAUAUUGGACAAUGGGCGAAAGCCUGAUCCAGCCAUACCGCGUGGGUGAAGAAGGCCUUCGGGUUGUAAAGCACUUUUGUUGGGAAAGAAAAGCAGCAGGUUAAUACCCCGCUGUUCUGACGGUACCCAAAGAAUAAGCACCGGCUAACUUCGUG
rnacentral:rRNA from 1 species